UUUACUCCCUUCAAGACCCUCCCAUAUUCCUCCUUUUUCUGCGUAUGGAUUAAAACUUACUUUAUUCAGAAAAAAAUCUUAUUAUAUACUCCAAACCCAGCCUAUUUUGUAUGUUUUUUUUCCAGAUAAUUUUGACUGGGACAAGUAUUUGAAAGAGACUGAUUCUGUAAGUGCACCUUCAGAAUACUUCAGACAGUCUAAGACUCCACCAACUAAUGAAUUCCAAGUUGGUAUGAAAUUGGAAGCCCGUGACCCUCGCAAUAUCGGUUCAGUGUGUGUUGCUUCUGUUAUUGCAACUACUGGUGCCAGAUUACGUUUACGACUGGAUGGUAGUGACAAUAAGAAUGAUUUUUGGAGACUUGUUGAUUCAUCAGACAUACAGCCUGUUGGGACAUGUGAACAGGCAGGAGAUUUACUUCAACCUCCACUGGGGUACAGAAUGAAUGUUUCAUCCUGGCCCAUGUUCUUACUACGGACACUAACUGGAUCUGAACUGGCCCCUGCAGUGUUCUUUA